UUGAGGCUCCAAAUAAUUCACAAAGCCCCAUCACUUCAAGGGCACGCAGUGAGCUAGACAGACUGGCUCGUGCAUUCAUGGAGCCGAAAUACUUCGGCUUCAUAGUAGUAAAUUUUUUUUGAAUAUUGAAUUGUUUUAUUUUGAUUAUCUUGGAUUAUUGCACUUGCGACGACGGUGGGUUGCUGGCGCGGGCCCUCUAUGUCUAGGAUCUCGUCUGCCCUCCCAAGCCAGCGUUCUUAUCCGAUAAACUUGAGGAUAUACUUCUGGUAACCAUUUCAAGAAACUGCGCAAGGGUAUUGGAGCUUCAUAGCUUUAUAGGUACAACAAAGCCAAUGAAAUUCCAUUGCAAGCACUGGAAUGAAAAUUAUUGGUUAUUUUACUUAUUUGCUUUGUUUAUGAUUUAAAUUAUUAUUAUAAAUAAAAAUAAAUAAAUAAUAAUUUGCACUAGUAAUUUAGGGAAUGUUGAUGAUGAGUUUAUUCCAAACCGAAUAGCCGACUGAACAAAUUAGAAAAUGGUAUCAUUUUUAAAAUAUCAAGCAAAAACCAAAACUGAUAAGAGAACCCGAAAAAAACGCCCCCAAAUUAAACCAUGCUUUGUAAAUAAGUCCUCAAAUACUAACAAAACUGGGAAAGGUGUGGUUUUUGGUCUUGGAACUCUAUUCGGCGCCAUCUUCCACAACGGUUGACCAUAGCUAUUUUUGAAAAACUAAAAAUUUUCUAUAGUGUAAAUUAUAUUAAUCAAUAAUCAACAUUUAUUUUAAUUGGUAGCGAUUAUCUUUUAUUUAUUUGUUUUAUAAUGAGAAUUUAGUAAUUUAUGUAGACUUUGAAGACAAUCUUAGUCGUUCAUUCCAUGUCUAUUGUGCGAAGACUUAGACAUUGACUUGCAAUUUGCAAGAAGAAUAAUGCAUGAAUUGUAGGGCAGCGGUAUUUAUUGCACAUCAAUGUGAAUGUACGUACAUAGGAAAUAGAAAAGAUCCAUAUUUUUAAUUUCUUUAGGUUUAUAUCCAAUAAUAUCCAAUAAUAUCACGUAAUGUUUUACUUGUGUUUCUUCCACAUCAUUACCGCAUAGCAUGUUAAGUAUAGUAUCUAUUAUUAAAAAGUUGUCUUUGUUAAACGCUAUCAUUUUUUAUGUAAUGGUAAAAAUUUGAUCUGACUAA